rnacentral:rRNA from 1 species
AGCAGCCGCGGUAAUUCCAGUUCCAAUAGCGUAUAUUAAAGUUGUUGCAGUUAAAAAGCUCGUAGUUGAAUUUCGGGAUCAGUACGCCGGUCGUGCCUUUGGUAUGUACUGGUGUUACUGGUUCCUACCUUCUGACGAACCGUCAUGUCAUUAAUUUGGUGUGGCGGGGAAUCAGGACUGUUACUUUGAAAAAAUUAAAGUGUUUAAAGCAGGCUCGCGCUUGAAUACAUUAGCAUGGAAUAAUGAAAUAGGACGUUCGAUCCUAUUUUGUUGGUUCUAGGAUUGACGUAAUGAUUAAUAGGGAUAGUUGGGGGCAUUAGCAUUCAAUUGUCAGAGGUGAAAUUCUUGGAUUUAUUGAAGACUAACUACUGCGAAAGCAUUUGCCAGGAUGUUUCAUUAAUCAAGAACGAAAGUUAGGGAUCGAAGACGAUCAGAUACCGUCGUAGUCUUAACCAUAAACUAUAGACCGACUAGGGAUCGGAUGAUAGUUAAUUUUUAAUGUACUCUAUUCGGCGUCGUU